rnacentral:rRNA from 1 species
AACGAACGCUGGCGGCAUGCCUAACACAUGCAAGUCGAACGAGACCUUCGGGUCUAGUGGCGCACGGGUGCGUAACGCGUGGGAAUCUGCCCUUGGGUUCGGAAUAACAGUUGGAAACGACUGCUAAUACCGGCUGAUGACGUAAGUCCAAAGAUUUAUCGCCCAAGGAUGAGCCUGCGUCGGCUUAGCUGGUUGGUGAGGUAAAGGCUCACCACGGCGACGAUCCUUAGCUGGUCUGAGAGGAUGAUCAGCCACACUGGGACUGAGACACGGCCCAGACUCCUACGGGAGGCAGCAGUGGGGAAUAUUGGACAAUGGGCGAAAGCCUGAUCCAGCAAUGCCGCGUGAGUGAUGAAGGCCUUAGGGUUGUAAAGCUCUUUUACCCGGGAUGAUAAUGACAGUACCGGGAGAAUAAGCACCGGCUAACUCCGUG